CCUACGGGGGGCAGCAGUGGGGAAUAUUGGACAAUGGGGGGAACCCUGAUCCAGCCAUGCCGCGUGUGUGAAGAAGGCCCUCGGGUUGUAAAGCACUUUCAGUGAGGAAGAACGCCUGGUGGUUAAUACCCAUCAGGAAAGACAUCACUCACAGAAGAAGCACCGGCUAACUCCGUGCCAGCAGCCGCGGUAAUACGGAGGGUACGAGCGUUAAUCGGAAUUACUGGGCGUAAAGCGCGCGUAGGUGGCUUGAUAAGCCGGUUGUGAAAGCCCCGGGCUCAACCUGGGAACGGCAUCCGGAACUGUCAAGCUAGAGUGCAGGAGAGGAAGGUAGAAUUCCCGGUGUAGCGGUGAAAUGCGUAGAGAUCGGGAGGAAUACCAGUGGCGAAGGCGGCCUUCUGGACUGACACUGACACUGAGGUGCGAAAGCGUGGGUAGCAAACAGGAUUAGAUACCCGAGUAGUC
rnacentral:rRNA from 1 species